GACGAACGCUGGCGGCGUGCUUAACACAUGCAAGUCGAACGGUGAAGCGCCUUCCUUUUUGGUGGGUGUGGAUGAGUGGCGAACGGGUGAGUAACACGUGAGUAACCUGCCCCCUUCUUCUGGAUAACCGCAUGAAAGUGUGGCUAAUACGGGAUAUUCUGGGUCUGUCGCAUGAUGGGUCUGGGAAAGAUAUUGUUUCGGUGGGGGAUGGGCUCGCGGCCUAUCAGCUUGUUGGUGGGGUGAUGGCCUACCAAGGCGGUGACGGGUAGCCGGCCUGAGAGGGUGGACGGUCCCACUGGUACUGAGACACGGACCAGACUCCUACGGGAGGCAGCAGUGGGGAAUAUUGCACAAUGGGCGCAAGCCUGAUGCAGCGACGCCGCGUGAGGGAUGGAGGCCUUCGGGUUGUGAACCUCUUUCGCCAGUGAAGCAGGCCUGCCUCGUUUGUGGGUGGGUUGACGGUAGCUGGAUAAGAAGCGCCGGCUAACUACGUG
rnacentral:rRNA from 1 species